rnacentral:rRNA from 1 species
AUUGAACGCUGGCGGCAGGCCUAACACAUGCAAGUCGAACGAGUGGCGGACGGGUGAGUAAUGUCUGGGAAACUGCCCGAUGGAGGGGGAUAACUACUGGAAACGGUAGCUAAUACCGCAUACCAUCGGAUGUGCCCAGAUGGGAUGAGCUUGUAGGGGAGGUAACGGCUCACCUAGGCGAAGAUACCUAGCUGGUCUGAGAGGAUGACCAGCCAAAUUGUAAAUGAGACCAGGGCUAUAUGCCUAUGGGAGGCAGCAGUGGGGAAUAUUGCGAGAUGGGAGCAAGCCUUAUGCAGUCAUGCCGGGUGUAUGAAUAAGUCCUUCGGUUUGGAAAGUACUUUCAGCGUGGAGGCUUUCCCCGCAUAAGAAGCACCGGCUAACUCCGUGCCAGCAUCCGCGGUAAUUC